GCACCCUUCCUGGUUGACGUUCAGCGAUGCAAAGGAGGAAAAAAAAUCCAACAGCAUAUUUGUUGCUGCCAAUCUCCGUGUUUGAGAUCAGAUGCUGAGGUAGAUGUGGAUGAGAUGAAACUACUAUUGGAGCUUCGUCCAAAUAUCUAUAAAAUAAAUCCACACCGGAGUGACGCUCUCCGAUGUAGACCCUCCGACGGAGUGACGCUCUCCGAUGUAGACCCUCCGAUGCUCAAGUCAGA
rnacentral:lncRNA from 1 species